GACUUUACUUCUGAAAUAUAUGGCAUUUCAACAGAGUGCCACGAAGGGUGAACAGUUGAGUGAUAUACCAUGGAUAACUUUAAGAAUGAUUCUACCUGCAUUGCUGUUUUGUUAGGAAACGGUGACAACCUUUUGGAAACUCUGGCAGAGAAAUUUAUGGAAUUCCUGGAGAAGGAGGAUUUAACUCUGACUCAGCCCGCCUUCACGCCCCAAGGUGCUAAGAAUCAAACAAGCGGCUCGCACACCAGAAGGUAUGCCUGGAAUGCCAGAUCCCCUCUCUUGGCUUCUGAAGAGGAUUUCAGAGAGAGGGGAAGAGCUGUGCGUUUCUGAGUGAGGACCCCUGGGGGCGUCAGAUUGAGGCUUGUGUACAUGAAAUUACGAACGGACGAUUGUUGAGAGCAAGAUUUGGACACUAUCUUAGCACUGUCAAGCAGAGCACAAAGAUUUGGUCACCUGAUACUACUGUAUCUGGAAAUUAGAA